AUUUCUACAAUUAAUUAAAUUUUAGGGUUUUAAGCAUUUUACAUAAUUUCUCUCUAAAAUUAUACAAUUUUCUUCUUAAUGGUUCUCCAAUCUUAUCCUUUUUCCUCUUUUUUUUUUUUUCUGAUACUGAGGAAUUUAGCAUUCAAAUUGCGAGAUAUUUAUGUUUUUGAGGUUUUAAAGCAUUUUUCUUUAUUAUUGAAAUUCUAUUAUUUGUAAUUGCCAUUUAUUUUUUUGAGUUGUUUCCCAUUGGAUUUCAAUAUGCAUGUACUAAUUUUUCUGAUAUACUUAUUCAUGUUUGAAUUUAGAUAGUCGGGUGUAAUCUUAUGGAUGAUUUUGAGUCCAAGCUCAAAGAUAACCAUUUUCUCUUCAGGUUAACAAUUGGUGCAACAAAGGUGUUUGAUGGUGGAAUGCUUCAAUCAAAUAAAAGAUUUACAGAUUUCUACAACAUAUUCCUCUGUCAAUUAUGAAGAUUUUAGGUCAGUAUUGACUUUCUUUGGCUUCUGGUGGUGAGUCUAAGCUAUUAUAUUUGAAGAUAAAGGGAGAUUAUUAUUGCACUUAUACAUAGUAGAAAAUACUUACUUUUCUGAUAAAGUUUUAUUAGUGCUUUAGUGAUUGAUUGGAAAAACAUUGGCACAUUUGAUGAGAGAAAACAAAAAGUUAACAGAGAUGUUGGAGUUUAGACGUAGUCAUUGACAAUGUUGGCUUCCUUCACUACAUAAGAGGGUGAUAAUGAGUCCAAUAUGGCUACCAAUUAAUUGCUUUUCUUAAUGGUUGGAGUGGUUUCUUCAACUUUUUUCUAAUCUGCUUUGGCCUUUGUGUUUUUGCCUUAUAUUUGAUUCUGGAAGCUGCAUGAUCCAACCAUAUUGUUUUACCUAUAUAAUGAGAAAAGAAGAAACAAACCCAUCCCUUAUGCUUUGAAAUAAAAGAGGACUCUAAUUGCUACUAAGGUUUUAAUAUCCAUAGUAACCGAAUUGUGCCUCAACAUGAGUUUAUUAGUAAGUCUUUGUGCUUUGAAAAUAGUACAUCAGAUAUGAUAGUAUCCAACUUCCUCUCCAAGGUCCAAUUCAAUAACCUUACGCCUUAACAUAGGGGUUUCUCUUUGCAGUCUGAAUUAUUACAAGUCAUCUUUUCCUAUGUGCCAACUAUUUAUGCUUUGAUAUUGUUGAGAUCCUUCACAGGGGAUUACUUAUGAUGGACUGUUAACUUUUUAUGUAUGCUGCAAGUACUCUUAUUACUAAAAUAGUACAUAUAUCAGUUGAUGUGUUAGUUUGGGUAAUUCACACUUUCAGGUAGAACCAAGAUAGCUCUAUGUAUUGGAUGAAAGGAUAAGCAAUUCUGAGCAAUUUUUGGGUGCCAUUUGAUUGGUUGACUUUUCUAAAGUGUGUUUUGAGACAAUUUCAAACAUAUAUAUUGUUAAAUGAGAUCAUUUAUUAGAUGGACUUAGAUAAUAACUGUGAGAUACUCUGAAGAAACUAGGAAAUAUGAGUCAAUGUACCUGGCUCAACUUCGGUUAACUUGCUGAAGUGAUGUAAAUCCUGUUUUUCAUGGAGAGAUUACAAAACACCUAAUGCGCAUAUGCUUCAUUAAGUUGCUUUAGUACAUUUUCUUAUCUUUGUGAUAACUAUGCCUCUGACAUGUUCUUUCCCAUCAUAUUUAUUUAAGUAGAAAUUAUUCUCAAUUCCAUUUCAUCUCCAAUGAGGAUGAAAAGUUGUUAGUGUGACCUAUGUUACCUGGGUCCUUUCAUUUGCAUUGACGUACACAUGUUGAGUGGGUGAGAUAUGGGUGUAGGUACUUCACACAAAUUAUUUGAAUACACAAAAGAACUACCAAAAAACUGCAUGUACUCCUACUAGAUACUUACACCUAUAUGACAUCACCCUUAAUCAGUCAAUGUGAUGAUAUACGAUGUUACAGAUAUUUCUGGCUGUCUUUUGUAAGAGAAUCUCAACAAUGCAGUGAAAAACCAAUUUGAAGAACCAACUAUUUUAGUGGCAUGCUUCUGUGGGUGAUUCUCUUUCCCUUAGCAUACAUAUAUCUUAAGGAAUUUUUCUACGACUAGCAAAAUGUGCAUUAUCAGACUAAUGAAGAAUCAAAUAAUUACUGUUUUUUUAUUCUUUGGGAUAGUACUUGAUAAAGAAAGCAACUGAUUAGUAUGCAUAAUUAUCAUUCUUGACGAGGUUCCAUUAUAAUAUUGAUUUCAAUUUUGAUAUUCUUGUCUUAUUUAGAAGUGGCAGUAGGGAAGGACGAACAAGGGCAAAUAAGUAAUUCUAAUGUUAACUUUGGGGUAAAUUUGUAAAUUCACUUUUCACAUGUGUAUCCAGUUUAUGCUUUCUUUCCUUGUUCAUCGGUAGAAUCUACCAUAUGCUGUACAUUUGUUCUAUCACUGCCUUUUGCUCUUGGUCAGAUCAUGAUGAUCGUUUUGGAUCUCAGUUUUGCCUCAAAUUUUUCUUCGGUGUUGUUGUAAUCUUUGGUUACACCAAGUUUUAGUUCCCCUUCUCCCCCAAUUUUUCGGUAAUGUGUCCAACUCUUGAAAAGAACCUAUAAUGGUUGCUUUUUUCCAUUUUUCUUUGGAUUCUUAGGUUGUGUAUCAUAAACUGUAUUUAAUUUUCCCAUGCAUGUUUGAAAAUAGAAAUAAAUAUGUAUAUAACUUUGAUGUACAGAGGCUUUUGUGGUUCCGAGUCUAGGUGUGCUCUAAAGUCGAAUAACAGCAAGCAUAGCUCUCACUUCGAAUCGGCUUUAAACUUUUUCCCAUUUUAUUAACUUUGACUGCUCCAAAUCGGGAUAUAAAUUUGUAAUCUGCGGAAAUUGUGAAGAUCUUUCUUCACCAAUCCCUUUGACACUCAUUCUUCAGGAAUAAGGAAAAGUAUUUUUAAGUUUGAAUUUGUUCAUUUAGAAUCUAAUUUCUUCUGCUUCAUAUUUAUUUAAUAUGAGUAUUAUCCUUCUCUUUUUGUUGAUACAUUUAACAUAAACUUGCCCCACUAUUUCUGGUGUGUAGCCUUUUCAGUAAUUUGCAGGAAUAACAGAUUACAUUUUCUGGGCACUGAAUAGACAGGUUCUAAUAGCAAAUUAAUGAACAAUUUAUCAUUUAAUCUCAUAUGAAGUGAAAGGAUUCUUAGCUUUUGAUUUGUGAUGAACUUGAAUGAAAUAGGACUUCAUAUGUGGUAUUGAGGUUUUCUAUUUCUCUCAACUUUACUUGAAGUUUGCCUUGCAAAGUUUUCUCAAACUUUAGCCUAAUUAUGCCCUCAUUUUCAUUCUCAGGCUAAUUAAAAUUUCAUUUAUCAAAAACUAUCGUAAUUGGUUCAUCUUCAUCUAUUUCGAUUUAGUAAAUUAGAGAUCUACCAACAAAGGUGUUUGUAUGCUGUUAAUGGAAACACAUACUGCCUUUUCUAUUCUCUUCAACUCUUUUUCUUAUCAUCUUCUUCCUCUACUUUUUUCAGCUACAUCUAUCUCAACAGUUUAUAUUCUUGCAGCAGGCAUCUUAUGGUUGUUACUUUAUACACUUGUAAUCUUGCAGCAGACACUUUGUGAUGGUUAAUUAUUGCAACAUAAUAAUAUUAAUUCUUACUUCUUAACCUCUUUAUAGGUUGUGAGUUUCGAAUUUUGAGUUCAUUUCAAAUGAACACAGGCUGUUCUUUUUAAAUUUAGGUGCCAUAAUCCGUCAAUGUCUUCUCAUAUGUGUCUUUGCGUUUUUGUGAUGUUUGAGUUUUAACUGUAAGAGUGGUUUAAGGAAAUAUGGAUUAUAUAAGAGGAGAAAAUAGAGUUGCAGCUAAUGGUUCAUCUCUGGCACAGAUUCAUUUCACAAGCUGUCCCUUUUUGCUAAAAUUAACUUGUGACCUGAACUAAUUCCUUUGAUUUUGCUAAAUCUAAAUAGGAAACAACACUAUACAACUACUAUCUUUCUUUGGUGAUGAUGAGGGACAACCCCAGAAAAUUAUGCUAUUAACGUCCCAUUAUUUGAAUGAGCCAACCUAGCCAAAAUUCUGGUAAGAACAGAAUCGUCUCUGGCAACAACACGUGUACUUUAUACGAAAACAGGUGUACUUGAAGUGUUCUUCUUCUUUUGUUAAUCCCAAAUCCUAAUGUUGCUUGAAUUUCUUUUGCACCUUUUACUUCUACUUUAGCAUUUCUUGGAUUUUGGGUGUGUUGGAUACUCUUGCAUGUGUGUGUUUUUCGCCAGAAAUUCAUUUGAACACCUGAGAAAGUGAAGGGCAGAGAAAUGGAUACACCACAGAGAAAGUAAAGUCUCCAUCUUCAUUUUUUUCAUAUCUACAAUUGAAAACACAAGAAAAUGAGGCCGAAAGAUUAUCGACCUUUGGUUUUGCUCGAUUUUAUCGGAGCCAUUAUUUUACUUCUGAAGUUCUCUUAGGCUUUAUAUAUUUUUCAUUUCUGGAUAAACGUUUCUAGAUAUUGGAUUUUGCUCUUCAUGUUUUAUUAGAAGACUUAUACUUGCAUUUUGGGUGAGUGUUCAAAUGCUUUUAUGAGAUCUGAAUUUGAAGGAAGAACUUUCACACUACCAAGGUGUUUGAUGAAAUGCCCCCUUAAGGAUUCUAUUAGGAAAUCAUCUCUCAUUUAAUAAUUCCAAGGAUGCAUUAUUCACAUUCACUAGAAAGAACUAUUCAAUAAUUAUAAUAUGCAUUAUAUAUCAUUUUUGUUAAAUAAAUAUUUAUUUGAAAUGCGUUUAGCUAGAUAUUUGAUGUUCAAGCUGUAUCAAGUGGUGAUACUCCUACAACAAAAUGUAACACCUUUUUAUAACUUGCAUGAGUAAAAAUGUAUGUAUAGUCUAACUUUGUUGUGUAUAUGUGUACAGGUUAGGAGGAUCGAUUGACAUGAAAAAGUCUACCUAUAUGUUUUCACUUAUUUCAACUAAGUGAGGUUAGUGUAAGUAGCAUUUACCUUCAUAAAUAGAGAUAUUAUAUUAAGAGUUGCUAUUUAUUCAUCUUUCGACUCAAGUGAUGUGUAUUAAGUACUACUAGGCCAAUGAUAAAUUAAUUGUUGUUAGUUUUUCUACUAUGAAUUUUAUUAAAUAAGUUUAUAUGCUAUUUGUCGAGUAAAUGUUACUAAUAUUUAAGUAAUUUGAAUGAAGAUGCCGAAAACAUUUGAUGACGUAAAUAGGGGUAAGGAAUUUUAGUUUUAGUUUAAAACCUUAAUAUGUAAUUGUAUGUUUUAAACAAUAAAAUGAGCUUUCGAUUUAUUUUCCUUAAAAUGGUGAUGAUGUUGCCAUAUGAUAGGCUUAAGGGUAGGUAAAUGAGAUGCACUCCUACGCAUACUACAAAGUAAUUAUAGCAUUUAUUAUUUCUAUUUGGUGUAUAUAUGAAGUUUUACUAGCAUGUUUAUUCACAUUGUAAAGUAUAUAGAUGUCAUAUUAAUGUUUUAUGACAUUCACUCUAUUCUUUGAGCAAGAAAGCUUAACCCUGAAAAAAUCUACUCAGUUUAAAACAAGGAGGAAAGUAGGGUCUUCCGUGAUGCACUUGACCAAUGAAAGAUGUUUGUGGAGAUUCAAGGCCUAUUUUGACAGGUAUCUUAUUCUAAAAGUUAAUCACACAUCUUCUGCAGUACAAUCACAUUCUCUUCGUUAUUUAUUUUAUUAGUUUUUGAAUUAUAAUGGAGAUGUUAGUCAUGACUUUUUGAGUAAAACUAUUGUUAUUUUUUCCAGUCGUGUACAUUAAUGCACAAACAUAAAGUUUUAGCUGAAACUUUCUGUGAUGAUUCAUAUAUUGUCAGGUUUAGUUUGAUGCAAGAGACAUAAUCCUAUAAUGAUGAAAAAAAUGAAAUUUUCAGUUUACCGUGUUUAUAGACAUCAUAAAACACAUGAAUUUUGAAAAAAGACAGAGAUUCAAAUAGAUUGAAUUCUGCAUAUAUAUAGUGAAAAUUCAUUUCUCAUCAAUGGAAACCCUCAAGAUCUCUUAAAAUCUUUUAGAGUGCUAAGAUGGAGUUUUGUCCCCAUAUUUGUUUGUUUCGAUGAUAGAGACUCUCAACAUAAAGCUAAAAAAAGGUGAGAAUUUGGAUUGGGUAAAGAGGUUGCAGGUUGAUAGAAUGGGAGGUGCACCAUGUACAAUUUCUCAUAUUUUAUAUGCAAAUGUCAUUUUGUUGAUAUGUUCAUGGAGGAAUUCUCCUAACUUUUGGGAUAGUAACUGGUUCAAGGGUGAAUCUGGCUAAGAGGGUGUUUGGAUUGCUUUUACAAGAUGACUUCUAAGCUAAAAGCUAAAAGUCAUAAGUUGGUUAUACCCAACUUUUAGAUUUAAUUUUUUUUUUUUGCCUUUUCUGGCAAUCAAACACUACAAAAAAUGAGCUUAAAUUCAAAAGCACUUAAAAUGAGCAAAUUAAAUAGGAGUAUUAUGUACAACACCAUUGUAUAGAGGAUUUACCUCAGAGAUUUUAUAUAGGAAUUAGAUGAAAGGUUAAAGAGUUACCUAUAUUUGGGACUUUCUUGAGGUGCAAAGAAGAAUGCCAAAAGUAUCUGACUGAGAUAUUAAAUAGAUGUCUCAAUAAGAUGACUUCUUGAAAAAAAAAAUUGUCUUUCGAUGGCAGACUCACUUCAGUUAAUAGUGUGUUGGAUAAAAUUUCAACCUACUUAUUGUUUUUGUUAAAGUUGCAUGGUUAUAUGAGGAAAAUUUGAAUACCAUAAAAAGUGACCUCAUGUGGAAAGGCGUAAUACAAGAGAACUAAAGUUAUUAAAUGACAAAAAAAAGUAAUGAUUCACAAGAAGGUUGGAGGUGUGAGAAUAAGAAAUCUAAGAUUGCAUAAUAAGAGUUUAUUAUUUAAAUGACUAAAAGUUUAAUGAUGGUAAUGAAAAUUCUGAUGAAAUGUGAAAUAUGUGAAAGAUACUUGGAGCCCUCUUUUUGUUCAUAAUGCAUCAAGAGAUAGUAUAUGGAGUAAUAUCACUGAAAUAUGAGUUUCAAAAGUAGUUGGUAGAACAAUUCAUAUAUUUAAGUAGGAAGAAAACAUAACAUUUUUUUUAAGAUUACCUUUUCCUACAACUAAUUUAACUUUUUUGUAUACUGCUCAUUAGAUUGAUCUUUUAAGUUUCAAACUCAUGACCAAGUGAAAGAGCUCUAAUGCCAUGUUAGACCUGGACGUGAAUGAGAUAAAUAUGUCAAAAACAUAUUAGACUUCAUCUCAUCAUUUUCUUCUUCUUUCUUAAAUCUAUAUUGUUCUGACUCUUCAAAAAUGUCAAUUCUCCAAAAGUAAUGCCCAAAGUAAAGAGUACGCGCAACAUUCAAAAAAAUUCACAUGAAGUUGUAGCUGACAUGUGAAAUUCCCGGCCAUUUAUUUCUACCAACUGUGGAAUCAAAUUGAGAAGACGUACAGACAAAUUUUUUGAUAUUUUUUUAUGGAAUAAAAACAAACCGCACAAGGUUGGCUUCUUUCUAAAUGAUCUGGCGAGUUCUGCUGUCUCUUGAACAGAUGCAGCACUUUGGCUCUGCGUGUCCCAUAUGUUGAAGAAGCCGAAUAGCUAAAAGGUGAAAUAUAUUCUAAGGCUUAUUAGUCUAAAGUUCGCCAAUGCAAUAGAUAAUUUUAUUUACUUUAUCACCGUUCUUCAUAUUUAAAUAGUCUUUAAUUCAUUUUUGGCUUGGCAAAGAGGGCAAAGUGCAAAGCACAUCCAAUAGUUGUUCUAAGAUGGUCAUUCAAACUACGACAGCUAGCAUUGCAAGAUGCAACAUGACAACACUUAAAAGUUGAACGAGUUAUUCAAUUACUCCAUGUUCUCUUCAAAUCAACAAGUAAAUUCAAUUAUUUCCUGUGUGUACAUUUUAUAAUGCACAUACAAAUUUACCUUUCUUGGAAGAAGCAGAAAUUGACUAAGGCAGGAAACUUUGUGAAGACAAAUAGAGUCCGAAAGAUCUGUAUCAAUCAUAGCUCAACCAUUUUUACACGUUCUGCUUACGUCAUUCAUCUAAUGCAAUUUUAGUUUUUACAUCGCUAUGUUGCAACUUUUUAAGUUCUUUACUGCUGUUCUUCGUUACCAAGUGCCAUGUAAAGCAUCCACAAAUAAAAUGUUGGGCCCGUGCUAGCACGGGCCAUUCCCAUCUA
rnacentral:lncRNA from 1 species